rnacentral:rRNA from 1 species
UACAGAGGGUGCUAGCGUUGUUCGGAAUCAUUGGGCGUAAAGGGCGUGUAGGCGGUUUGUUAAGUCAUGGUGUGAAAUCCCUCGGCUCAACCGGGGAACGACGCAUGAAACUGGCAAGCUAGAGUACCAAAGAGGGGGGUGGAAUUCCCGGUGUAGCGGUGAAAUGCGUAGAUAUCGGGGAGGAACACCUGCGGCGAAAGGCGGGUUGCUGGGCUGACACUGACGCUGAGCGCGAAAGCUAGGGAGCGAACGGG